rnacentral:misc_RNA from 1 species
ACCAAGAAGUUUAUGAUGAUCUGUGGUAAACUAAGCGAAAUUCCAGGAUUUCUACAACACAUGAAGAUGUAAAAGUACUGUACUUAAUAAGGUCUUCAUGCAAGUGGCAAGUGAAAAAGACAAGGAGGGUUCAGGACUCGAGCCCAGGCCCUCGGUCUAAAUCUGUGUCACUGCCAAACAAAAGAACAAUGCAAAUUUGUGGAUUAAAUGUUGACGUGUAUCUGUGUGUGUAUCUUAAUGUGUGAGAUAUAUUAACCAUAACUUCUUUGUCAUUUGGCUGGACUUUAUUGUGAUAGUGAAUAUGACAUGAAAUGUUCUGCAUAUUUAUUUCCUGUGUAUUACUUUCAUGGCACUUGAUCAUGUACAUGAGUUGAUUCUUCUGCCAUAUGAAAAUUGUGUGCCCCUAGUCUUUCCAUUCUUUCCAUUACAAUUGGACUCUGCUGCCAUGUUGAAGUGGCACAAGUAUCUUGGAUACAACCCCACCCACCCCCCACCCCUAGACCCCCAUUCUCACCCCCCCCCCCAACUUAAUAAUCACACACAAAUACAAUGGUGCUAUAUAUUUCAUACUGAAUUGACCAACAAAGUGCUGGAAGGGAAGAGAUAUUAAAUCUCAUUAGACCAGUGUUCAUAUAUCCUUGCCUUUUUUAAGACAGAAAUGUUUUUUAUGGUCACUUCAACCUUUUUCGCAGUGCACAUAGAAGUUCCAUAAAAGACACAAUAGGUUUAAUAUAUACAUGUAGGUUAGCCCAUAUUUCCUCUUACCCCCCAUGGCUUCAUUCCAUCUCUUUUAGAUUUUUCGAAUACCCAUUCACAUCAUAUGUCAUGGAUACACUACUGAUCAAAAGGGAUGUUAAUUGUAAGCCUUUUUGUUCACAUUGAAACAAACAAGGGGGCCAAUAUGGCUGUAUGUCUAUUAUACAUGUAAAAAUAUCAUGGAUAUAAUUUUACUCCUCCAGUUUCAAUGUUGUGUAUAUGUACUUACAAUUGUGUCCAACUCUUCACUAGAUAAAUACUAGUAUCAGUUUUCCAUCCAUCAUUUCUGGAAUUCAUUCAGACAAUUGACCUCUAUGAAGUACAUUUAUGUCCAUUAUUUUAUAUUUGAUGGUACCUGUAUUUCAUUUUUAAAUGACAAACUGCUGUGUUUUUCAAGUACAACUAAAAUACAGUUAAUUGAUAUUUGUGUAUGAAUUAUCAUCAUUUUUAUUGGUUCAACUCUAGUCAAUAUUGUAGACUAAAUAUUGUACAGACUUUGUAUAACUCUGCAAAUUGACGACAUUAUAGUGCUUUAGUAGGUUGAUAACUUGGUCAUAUCUACACGUAGUCUUUAUAAAGACGCAUUGAUCUUACAUUGUAUGUAUAACGACAUGAACUGUACUUGUAAUUUAACUGAAACCAAUCUGCUGUUAGAGCAGAGUAAUAAAACUAUAAAACCUU